GAAAAGAAACUAACAAGGAUUCCCCUAGUAACUGCGAGUGAAGCGGGAAAAGCUCAAAUUUAAAAUCUGGCGGUCUUUGGUCGUCCGAGUUGUAGUCUGGAGAAGUGCUUUCCGCGCUGGACCGUGUAUAAGUCUCUUGGAACAGAGCGUCAUAGAGGGUGAGAAUCCCGUCUUUGACACGGACUACCAGUGCUUUGUGAUGCGCUCUCAAAGAGUCGAGUUGUUUGGGAAUGCAGCUCAAAAUGGGUGGUGAAUUCCAUCUAAAGCUAAAUAUUGGCGAGAGACCGAUAGCGAACAAGUACCGUGAGGGAAAGAUGAAAAGCACUUUGGAAAGAGAGUUAAACAGUACGUGAAAUUGCUGAAAGGGAAACGCUUGAAGUCAGUCGCGUUGUCUGGGACUCAGCCUUGCUUUUGCUUGGUGCACUUUCCGGAUGACGGGCCAGCAUCGAUUUUGACCGUCGGAAAAGGGCUAGGGUAAUGUGGCACCUCCGGGUGUGUUAUAGACUUUAGUCGCAUACGGCGGUCGGGAUCGAGGAACGCAGCGCGCCGUAAGGCAGGGGUUCGCCCACUUUCGCGCUUAGGAUGCUGGCGUAAUGGCUUUAAACGACCCGUCUUGAAACACGGACCAAGGAGUCUAACAUACCUGCGAGUGUUUGGGUGGAAAACCCGAGCGCGUAAUGAAAGUGAAAGUUGAGACCUCUGUCGUGGAGGGCAUCGACGCCCGGACCUGACGUUCUCUGACGGAUCCGCGGUAGAGCAUGUAUGUUGGGACCCGAAAGAUGGUGAACUAUGCCUGAAUAGGGUGAAGCCAGAGGAAACUCUGGUGGAGGCUCGUAGCGAUUCUGACGUGCAAAUCGAUCGUCAAAUUUGGGUAUAGGGGCGAAAGACUAAUCGAACCAUCUAGU
rnacentral:rRNA from 1 species